rnacentral:rRNA from 1 species
GACGAACGCUGGCGGCGUGCUUAACACAUGCAAGUCGAACGGAAAGGCCCUGCUUUUGUGGGGUGCUCGAGUGGCGAACGGGUGAGUAACACGUGAGUAACCUGCCCUUGACUUUGGGAUAACUUCAGGAAACUGGGGCUAAUACCGGAUAGGAGCUCCUGCUGCAUGGUGGGGGUUGGAACGUUUCGGCGGUUGGGGAUGGACUCGCGGCUUAUCAGCUUGUUGGUGGGGUAGUGGCUUACCAAGGCUUUGACGGGUAGCCGGCCUGGGAGGGUGACCGGCCACCAUGGGACUGAGAUAGGGCCCAGACUCCUACGGGAGGCAGCAGUGGGGAAUAUUGCACAAUGGGCGGAAGCCUGAUGCAGCAACGCCGCGUGCGGGAUGACGGCCUUCGGGUUGUAAACCGCUUUCGCCUGUGACGAAGCGUGAGUGACGGUAAUGGGUAAAGAAGCACCGGCUAACUACGUG